rnacentral:rRNA from 1 species
CCUACGGGUGGCUGCAGUGAGGAAUAUUGGUCAAUGGGCGCGAGCCUGAACCAGCGAAGUAGCGUGAAGGAUGACGGCCCUACGGGUUGUAAACUUCUUUUAUAAAGGAGUAAAGUGAUGCACGUUGGCCUUUUUGUAAGUACUUUAUGAAUAAGGAUCGGCUAACUCAGUGCCAGCAGCCGCGGUAAUACGGAGGAUCCGAUCGUUAUCCGGAUUUAUUGGGUUUAAAGGGGGAGUAGAUGGGUUGUGAGGUCAGUUGUGAAAGUUUGCGGCUCAACCGUAAAAUUGAAAUUGAUACUGGCAGUCUUGAGUACAGUUGAGGUAGGCGGAAUUCGUGGUGUAGCGGUGAAAUGCUUAGAUAGCACGAAGAACUCCGAUUGCGAAGGCAGCUUACUAAACUGCCACUGACAUUGAUGCUCGAAAGUGUGGGUAUCAAACAGGAUUAGAUACCCGGGUAGUC